AACAUACAUUUUUAUUAAAAUAAAGAAUUAAUUUCAUACAGAUCUCUAUAUUCCUACAAAGUUCAACUUUCAUAUGUUGUUUCUACAAAAAUUUUAAUGUUUUCAAAUAUGUUUCUUUGAUUUGUUACCGUCAGAGAACUGUUUAUAUUUUCAACUUUACUAUCACAAAUAUGUCCCUCAAAAAUCAUAACAGUAUAAUAUAAGAGGAAUAAAAAUGUCAAAAAUUAACCAGAAUUAAGUAUUUAACUUAUAGUUAACCAAAAUUUUCUAACAGAUUUUAACGGUAGAGACAUAUUUGAAACUAUUAGGACUUUUGCAGGAAUAACAUACGAAAGUUGAAUUUUAUAAAGGUAUAUUUGUCAUUUACUAUGUUUAGGGACAUAUUUGAAAAUAUCAGAACUUUGACAGGAAUAACAUAUGAAAGUUAAAUUUUAUAAAAAUAUAUUUGUCAUUUACUAUGUUUACGGGAGCUAGCUGUAUGAAAUUAACCAUAAAAUAAAACUAUUC
rnacentral:lncRNA from 1 species